AUUGAACGCUGGCGGCAGGCUUGACACAUGCAAGUCGAGCGGAGUGAUGGUGCUUGCACUAUCACUUAGCGGCGGACGGGUGAGUAAUGCUUAGGAAUCUGCCUAUUAGUGGGGGACAACAUCUCGAAAGGGAUGCUAAUACCGCAUACGUCCUACGGGAGAAAGCAGGGGAUCACUUGUGACCUUGCACUAAUAGAUGAGCCUAAGUCGGAUUAGCUAGUUGGUGGGGUAAAGGCCUACCAAGGCGACGAUCUGUAGCGGGUCUGAGAGGAUGAGCCGCCACACUGGGACUGAGACACGGCCCAGACUCCUACGGGAGGCAGCAGUGGGGAAUAUUGGACAAUGGGGGGAACCCUGAUCCAGCCAUGCCGCGUGUGUGAAGAAGGCCUUAUGGUUGUAAGGCACUUUAAGCGAGGAGGAGGCUCUUUUGGUUAAUACCCAAGAUGAGUGGACGUUACUCGCAGAAUAAGCACCGGCUAACUCUGUGCCAGCCGCCGCAGUAA
rnacentral:rRNA from 1 species